rnacentral:rRNA from 1 species
GACGAACGCUGGCGGCGUGCUUAACACAUGCAAGUCGAACGGAAAGGCCCUGCUUUUGUGGGGUGCUCGAGUGGCGAACGGGUGAGUAACACGUGAGUAACCUGCCCUUGACUUUGGGAUAACUUCAGGAAACUGGGGCUAAUACCGGAUAGGAGCUCCUGCUGCAUGGUGGGGGUUGGAAAGUUUCGGCGGUUGGGGAUGGACUCGCGGCUUAUCAGCUUGUUGGUGGGGUAGUGGCUUACCAAGGCUUUGACGGGUAGCCGGCCUGAGAGGGUGACCGGCCACAUGGGGACUGAGAUAGGGCCCAGACUGCAACGAGAGGCAGCAGUGGGGAAUAUUGCACAAUGGGCGGAAGCCUGAUACAGCAACGCCGCGUGCGGGAUGACGGCCUUCGGGUUGUAAACCGCUUUCGCCUGUGACGAAGCGUGAGUGACGGUAAUGGGUAAAGAAGCACCGGCUAACUACGUG